UACGGAGGGUGCAAGCGUUAUCCGGAUUCACUGGGCUUAAAGGGUGCGUAGGUGGCGCUGUAAGUCGGGUGUGAAAUUUCGGAGCUUAACUCCGAAACUGCAUUCGAUACUGCGGUGCUUGAGGACUGGAGAGGAGACUGGAAUUCAUGGUGUAGCAGUGAAAUGCGUAGAGAUCAUGAGGAAGACCAGUGGCGAAGGCGGGUCUCUGGACAGUUCCUGACACUGAGGCACGAAGGCCAGGGGAGCAAACGGG
rnacentral:rRNA from 1 species